rnacentral:tRNA from 3 species
GCGGGCAUAGUUUAGUGGUAAAACUACUGCCUUCCAAGCAGUUAAUCGGGGUUCGAUUCCCCGUGCCCGCU